GACGAACGCUGGCGGCGCGCCUAACACAUGCAAGUCGAACGGAGUCAAGAGGAGCUUGCUUUUCUUGACUUAGUGGCGAACGGGUGAGUAACGCGUGAGUAACCUGCCCUGGAGUGGGGGACAACAGUUGGAAACGACUGCUAAUACCGCAUAAGCCCACGGAUCUGCAUGGAUCUGCGGGAAAAGGAUUUAUUCGCUCUAGGAUGGACUCGCGUCCAAUUAGCUAGUUGGUGAGGUAACGGCCCACCAAGGCGACGAUUGGUAGCCGGACUGAGAGGUUGCACGGCCACAUUGGGACUGAGACACGGCCCAGACUCCUACGGGAGGCAGCAGUGGGGGAUAUUGCACAAUGGGGGAAACCCUGAUGCAGCGACGCCGCGUGGAGGAAGAAGGUUUUCGGAUUGUAAACUCCUGUCGUUAGGGACGAUAAUGACGGUACCUAACAAGAAAGCACCAGCUAACUACGUG
rnacentral:rRNA from 1 species